rnacentral:rRNA from 1 species
UACGGAGGUGGCAAGCGUUGUUCGGAAUUACUGGGCGUAAAGGGUUCGUAGGUGGCCACUUAAGUCAGACGUGAAAUCCCUCAGCUUAACUGGGGAACUGCGUCUGAUACUGAGUGGCUUGAGUGCAGGAGAGGGAUGCGGAAUUCCAGGUGUAGCGGUGAAAUGCGUAGAUAUCUGGAGGAACACCGGUGGCGAAGGCGGCAUCCUGGACUGUAACUGACACUGAGGAACGAAAGCCAGGGGAGCAAACGGG